GACGUAGGGCGCGAGCGUUGUCCGGAAUUAUUGGGCGUAAAGAGCUCGUAGGCGGUCUGUUACGUCUGCUGUGAAAACCCGGGGCUUAACCCUGGGCUUGCAGUGGAUACGGGCAGACUAGAGUGCGGUAGGGGGUGACUGGAAUUCCUGGUGUAGCGGUGGAAUGCGCAGAUAUCAGAAGGAACACCGGUGGCGAAGGCGGGUCUCUGGGCCGAAAUUGACGCUGAGGAGCGAAAGCGUGGGGAGCAAACAGG
rnacentral:rRNA from 1 species